rnacentral:tRNA from 1 species
GCCCCGGUAGCUCAGCUGGAUAGAGCAACUGCCUUCUAAGCAGUAGGUCAUGAGUUCGAAUCUCGUCCGGGGUA